rfam:Mycoplasma penetrans HF-2 DNA, complete genome.
GGGGAUGUCACGGUUUCGACAUGAAUGGUUGAUCUUCAAAUGCAGCAGGGUAAGCCCUUUACAGCUGUCGAGGCUAAUAAAUGCUAAGAACAAUAAAAACGAAGCUGUUGAAGUAGAAUUAAACGACUUUGAAAUCAACGCUUUAAGCCAAAACGCUAAUUUAGCUUUAUACGCUUAAUUACAUUUGGUAAUAAGUUCAUAUCUUUUUCUAGGUAGGUAUGAAUGUUUAAUAACUAGAUAGCUAAUUUAAUUCCUAUAACAAUUAGUGAAGUUCGUUAGGAUUACUUUUAUUUAUGGGUUGUUCUUUGCCUCUAUUUAAAAGGACAUAUUAAAGUUAGAACUAAGCUGUAGAUUUUGUCGCAUUGCUAUUUGUGGAAACGGGUUCGACUCCCGUCAUCUCCACCA